CUUCACCGAGCCGAGCCACAGCGGCCGGUCCCGGUCCCGGCCCUGACCGUAGGUCGCGAGCAGGGCCGCCGCCUC
rnacentral:antisense_RNA from 1 species